CCUAUCAUGUGACAUGUAUAAUGGUUGCUGUUCAGUAAUGUGAUGGGGGAUAGAAUACAUCUUCCAUCAAUCAAAUGACCAGAUGGAAGUGAUAUCGUUACAUUAUACAUAAAGGUAUUUCCCCGAUAGGACCCCUGGUGCUGUAAUGACGUCACUAUUUAGCUCAGGUCGACGAGCGGCCCUGAUGACGCGUCCAAGAUGGCCGACAGGCCCCUGAGCUGUAACUUCCGCUGCCCGACUGUUCGUGACGAUGGAGACCCGAUGGAAGAAAGGAGACUGACUGGGGGCGCCCUCCAUCCAUCACAUGGGAUCAUGCUGCUGUGCGGGGACGACGUGUUUAUGUGCUUAAAAGAUCUAAACUGAAUCAUGCAACACAUGAACCGUGAACUCUAGUCUGCACCUGAAGAAAGGCUCUUUACUUGAAAAUGUUGGAGGAGCAGCUGGAAAACAACAAGUUUCAAGACAAGCGGACGGAGGACGAAAUGAACAAAGCUGCUGAAUGAGCAGAGACACUUGAAGGUCCUGGAGGAGACGAGGAGGAUGGAGGAACAUUUGGGCGCAGUUUCCAGACCUGAGGACGGCAGGUUUCUUCUUCUGCUCUGCGGUUACUCUGAGAAGUAACUUUGACAGUUUGGGGGUGGUUCAACUUUUGUCAAAUGUUUGCUGUGCAGCUGAAUUUUAAUAAAGAAUAAUUUGGUAUAACCCCCUGCGUGUGUCUCAUUGAAAGCCCGGGAGGAGACGGACGUCUCUACUCUACCGGGGCGAUGCACACUGAUGAUCCCACAGCGGUGGGAAUCGAACCCGGGUCUGACGCCACCCAAACCGGGGACGGCGCAACCACGCCACCAUGUCAUUCACCCUUAAUCAUGUUUGUUUGUUGCCUUUGACUUCUUCAUGUGACUGAACAACCUCAAAAA